UUAGGGUAAGUGGGCGAUUACUCCUUUUUGUAAUAAAAAGGGGAGGAAAGUCCGGACUUCAUUUAAGAUAGUGGGUAAUGCCCACCGGGACGCUACGGUUAUAGUCGGGCGUUUCUAGGGAAAGUGCCACAGAGACUAUACUAGUUUCUUUUUAAGAAACGAAACGUGAAAAGGGGCCAGAUGUCUAUAAAAGGCUACUGGUCUCGCCCUUCGGUGACGAAGUUGGCGUGGUAAACCCUAUCUGAAGCAAGAGCAAACUUUUUUUAAUUUAUUUUAGAAAAAGACAAAGUAGCUCGCUUGAGUUUACUAGUAAUAGUAGACCUAGAUAAAUGUCGCCUAAAACAGAAUCCGGCUUACAACUGCUCUAAUAAU
rnacentral:RNase_P_RNA from 1 species